AGUGGGAUAGCUGGGUCAAAUGGUGGUUUUGUUUCAAAGUUUUCUGAGGAAUCUCCAUACUGCUUUCCAUAAUGGCUGCAACAAUUUGCAUUUCCCACCAGCAAU
rnacentral:pre_miRNA from 1 species